rnacentral:rRNA from 1 species
GAAAGUAAUAAAGAGCGUAUGGGGGAUGCCUAGGCUCUUGGAGGCGAAGAAGGACGUGGUAAGCUGCGAAAAGUCGCGGGGAUUUGCAAACGAGAAUUGAUCCGCGAAUAUCCGAAUGGGACAACCCGGCAGGCAGAAGGCCUGUCACCCAGCAAUGGGGGCUAACCCUCUGAACUGAAACAUCUAAGUAGGAGGAGGAGAAGAAAGAAACAUCGAUUUCCAAAGUAGCGGCGAGCGAAAUGGAAGGAGCCCAAACCGGUAUUGUUACGGCAAUGCCGGGGUUAUAGGACUGCGAGAUUCGAAGGACAAAGAACUGGAAAGAUUUGGAAAAGUCGACCAUAGAGAGUGAAAGUCUCGUACAGGUAAUUGAGUUCAAAGAUAGCAGUAUCCUGAGUAUGGCGGGACACGAGGAAUCCAGUCAGAAUUCGCCGGGACCACCCGGUAAGGCUAAAUACUCCCAAGAGACCGAUAGUGAACCAGUACUGUGAAGGAAAGGUGAAAAGAACCCCGAAUAGGGGAGUGAAAAAGAACCUGAAACCAUACGCUUACAACCUGUCGGAGCGGCUUCGUGCCGUGACGGCGUGCCUAUUGAAUAAUGAGCCUACGAGUUACUAAUCACUGGCGAGGUUAAGUGCUAGGAAGCACGGAGCCGAAGCGAAAGCGAGUCUGAACAGGGCGUUUAGUCAGUGGUUGUAGACGCGAAACCUUGCGAUCUACCCUUGAGCAGGAUGAAGGUUGGGUAAAGCCAACUGGAGGUCCGAACGAAUAAGCGUUGAAAAGCUUCUCGAUGACUUGAGGGUAGGAGUGAAAGGCCAAUCAAGCUGGGAAAUAGCUCGUACUCCCCGAAAUGCCUUUAGGGGCAGCGUUGUAAUAAAGAGUCUACUGGAGGUAGAGCUACUGAUUGGAUGCGGGGGCUUCACCGCCUACCAAAUCCCGACAAACUCCGAAUGCCAGUAGUAUGAUUUACAGCAGUGAGCCACCGGGUGCUAAUGUCCGGUGACAAAAGAGGAACAACUCAGACCAGCAACUAAGGUCCCCAAGCGUAUGCUAAGUUGAACUAACGAUGUUUUGUUGCAUAGACAGCUAGGAUGUUAGCUUGGAAGCAGCUAUUCAUUCAAAGAGUGCGUAACAGCUCACUAGUCGAGCGACAAAGCGUGGAUAAUAAACGGGCAUCAAGCAUACCACCGAAGUUCUGGGCGCGAAAGCGCGGUAGGGGAGCAUUCCAUUCAGCGUUGAAGCAGCGUCGUGAGAUGUUGUGGAGCGUAUGGAAAAGCAAAUGUAGGCAUGAGUAACGAUAAUGCGGGAGAGUAACCCGCACACCGCAAGACCAAGGUUUCCUGAUCAACGCUAAUCGGAUCAGGGUUAGUCGGGUCCUAAGGGUAAGCCGAACGGCGAUCUCGAUGGAUAAUCGGUUAAUAUUCCGAUACUGACAUAUACCUCGAUGGAGAGACGAAAUCGCGUAAGUACCGCCUCCUGACGGAAUAGGAGGUUAAAGGGCGUAUGUAUAGGGGCAGAUUAAGAGUCAGUCCUUGCUGAAACCCGACAGUACAGAGAGCCUACGGGCAAUUUGAUAGUGUACCCAAGCAUGUUUCCGAGAAAAUCUUCUAAGUUAUAGUAUAUGUCACCCGUACCGUAAACCGACACAGGUGGUCGAGGAGAGUAUCCUAAGGUGCUCGAGUGAAUCACGGUUAAGGAACUAGGCAAAUUAACCCCGUAACUUCGGGAAAAGGGGUCCCUACGCGAGUAGGGCGCAGCGAAGAGGUCCAGGCGACUGUUUAUCAAAAACACAGGGCUCUGCAAAUUCGAAAGAAGAAGUAUAGGGCCUGACACCUGCCCGGUGCUGGAAGGUUAAGAGGGGAUGUCAUCGCAAGAGAAGCAUUGAAUCGAAGCCCCAGUAAACGGCGGCCGUAACUAUAACGGUCCUAAGGUAGCGAAAUUCCUUGUCGGGUAAGUUCCGACCUGCACGAAUGGUGUAACGAUCUGGACACUGUCUCAACCGUGAGCUCGGUGAAAUUGUAGUCCCGGUGAAGAUGCCGGGUACCCGCAAC